rnacentral:rRNA from 1 species
GAUGAACGCUGGCGGCGUGCCUAAUACAUGCAAGUCGAGCGAACAGACGAGGAGCUUGCUCCUUUGACGUUAGCGGCGGACGGGUGAGUAACACGUAGGUAACCUACCUAUAAGACUGGGAUAACUUCGGGAAACCGGAGCUAAUACCGGAUAAUAUUUCGAACCGCAUGGUUCGAUAGUGAAAGAUGGCUUUGCUAUCACUUAUAGAUGAACCUGCGCCGUAUUAGCUAGUUGGUAAGGUAACGGCUUACCAAGGCAACGAUACGUAGCCGACCUGAGAGGGUGAUCGGCCACACUGGAACUGAGACACGGUCCAGACUCCUACGGGAGGCAGCAGUAGGGAAUCUUCCGCAAUGGGCGAAAGCCUGACGGAGCAACGCCGCGUGAGUGAUGAAGGUCUUCUGAUCGUAAAACUCUGUUAUUAGGGAAGAACAAACGUGUAAGUAACUGUGCACGUCUUGACGGUACCUAAUCAGAAAGCCACGGCUAACUACGUG